rnacentral:rRNA from 1 species
CGUGGCCUACGGGACGCAGCAGUGGGGGAUAUCGCACAAUGGGGGGAACCCUGAUGCAGCGACGCCGCGUGGGUGAAGAAGCGCCUCGGCGCGUAAAGCCCUGUCAGCAGGGAAGAAAAUGACGGUACCUGAAGAAGAAGCCCCGGCUAACUACGUGCCAGCAGCCGCGGUAAUACGUAGGGGGCAAGCGUUAUCCGGAUUUACUGGGUGUAAAGGGGGCGCAGACGGCGAUGCAAGCCAGGAGUGAAAGCCCGGGGCCCAUCCCCGGGCCUGCUCUUGGAACUGCGUGGCUGGAGUGCAGGGGG